GGAUGUGAGGGUGAUCUGGCUGCGACAUCUGUCACCCCACUGAUCACCAGCGCUGAUUUGGCUAAUCUGGCUGGCUAGGUGGGGAUCCCCUUCCUCCCUCAUGGCUCCAUGUGGGUCCCUCCUGAAGCUGCUUGCUCAGUUGAAGAGGAUGACCAUGUGCCCAUAGAGGAGGACUGUUUCCUCUGUCAACGGUAGAUCAUCAGCAACUCUAUGAUACAACAAACAAAAAUCUUUUUUUUUUUUU
rfam:Heterocephalus glaber contig49950, whole genome shotgun sequence.